GAAAGUCUGGAAUGGAAAAACCAAAACAUAACACAAAGAAUGGAAGGAAGGAAAAAUGAAUGACAAAUGAGUGUUAAACAAAAAUGUGCUAAGAAAUCUCAAGCUAUUGUCCUUGUGGCCAUGGCAUGAAGGUCCUUAAAUAUGGUUAUGCAGUUAAUGUUGUUGUUGGUGUGUUCGUGUGCGUGCGUGCGUACAUGUCCGCCUGCCGUGGUUAUCUUUGUCUGGAUGUGUGUUGGCCUUAAAUUGAUUUUCAAGGAUUGACAAGGCCACCCAGCUACGUAACUCCACUUAGCUGGAAGAUAAUGGGUCCGACAAAUUUACCCUCC